UAGCGGCCGUUGAGAUGAUAUCGCUCCAUACCCGGUAGCGGCAGCUUGACUCCGCACACGCGUAGGGGGCAAUGUCACCUCAACAGCUGCUC
rfam:Triticum urartu cultivar G1812 contig259060, whole genome shotgun sequence.